GAUGAACGCUGGCGGCGUGCCUAACACAUGCAAGUCGAGCGAUUCUCUUCGGAGAAGAGCGGCGGACGGGUGAGUAACGCGUGGGUAACCUGCCCUGUACACACGGAUAACAUACCGAAAGGUAUGCUAAUACGGGAUAACAUGUUUUGAUCGCAUGGUCGAAAUAUCAAAGCUCCGGCGGUACAGGAUGGACCCGCGUCUGAUUAGCUAGUUGGUAAGGUAAUGGCUUACCAAGGCGACGAUCAGUAGCCGACCUGAGAGGGUGAUCGGCCACAUUGGAACUGAGACACGGUCCAAACUCCUACGGGAGGCAGCAGUGGGGAAUAUUGCACAAUGGGCGAAAGCCUGAUGCAGCAACGCCGCGUGAGCGAUGAAGGCCUUCGGGUCGUAAAGCUCUGUCCUCAAGGAAGAUAAUGACGGUACUUGAGGAGGAAGCCCCGGCUAACUACGUG
rnacentral:rRNA from 1 species